GGUAACACCGGCAGCCCGAGUGGUGAUCACUAUUAUUGGGUCUAAAGGGUCCGUAGCCGGUUUAAUCAGUCUUCUGGGAAAUCUAAUCGCUUAACUAUUAGGCUUCCAGGGGAUACUGUUAGACUUGGGACCGGGAGAGGUAAGAGGUACUGCAGGGGUAGGAGUGAAAUCUUGUAAUCCCUGUG
rnacentral:rRNA from 1 species